UACGGAGGGGGCUAGCGUUGUUCGGAUUUAUUGGGCGUAAAGAGCGUGUAGGCGGCCAUACAGGUCCGUUGUGAAAACUCGAGGCUCAACCUCGAGACGUCGAUGGAAACCGUAUGGCUAGAGUCCGGAAGAGGAGAGUGGAAUUCCUGGUGUAGCGGUGAAAUGCGCAGAUAUCAGGAAGAACACCCGUGGCGAAGGCGGCUCUCUGGGACGGUACUGACGCUGAGACGCGAAAGCGUGGGGGAGCGAACAGG
rnacentral:rRNA from 1 species